rnacentral:lncRNA from 1 species
CCGGAGCACGACCGGUGCUGUUGGUGCCCGUGUUGUGGCUGCGAAGUGCGAAAACACCUGAGCCAUGGAAACCUGACAGUGCUACACGGGGGUCUGCUGGAACAUCUGGCCAGCCCAGAACAUAAGAAAGCCACCAACAAAUUCUGGUGGGAGAACAAGGCCCAUGCCCAGGUGAAAGAGAAGUUUCUGAUCUCCCCCCCGGAUUAUGCACGAUGGCAGCUCAGAUCCGUGAGGUAGAACAGAGUCGGCAGGAAGUGGUCCGAUCUGUCUUAGAGGUUGGUUUCCCUCGGAGGACCCAGAGCACCUCAGGCAGAGUCAGAUCCAGAAGAGGGUUCUUCGGCACCUGAAAGUUGGAAAGCUGCCAAUGGGUAAGUCCUCAGGGAGCCUCUGCAGUUGGAUGCUGGGAAAUGGGAACCAAUCUGAUCCUUGCCAUCCCCAGUGCUCAAGGACUUCAUCUGCCAGCCUGGCUCCCCUGUCUUUCAGCCAUGGAGCCUCCAGCUCACAGCAGGUAUCACACUUGGACUUGCAACCUGUUGCAGAGCUUGAUUGGAUGGAGACAGGACCGCACCUAACAUUCAUUGGGCAUCAGGAUACACCCGGAGUUGGUAACAUUCACUCAGGUGCCACACCUCCAUGGAUGAUCCAAGAGGAGGAGCACAGCUCUGGAAGCCUCCCAAUAGGACCCUCCUAUGAAGAAUUUCUUAAAGAAAAGGAAAAGCAAAAACUGAAGAAACUCCCUCCAGAUAGAGUUGGGGCCAACUUUGAUCACAGUUCCAACACCAGUGCAGGCUGGCUGCCCUCUUUUGGCAGAGUCUGGAAUAAUGGACGCCGCUGGCAGUCCAGGCAUCAAUUCAAAACUGAAGCUGCAGCAAGAAGCAGGCAGCCACAUAAAGGGAAAAGCUGAAGGUUCCCAGUCUGUUCCGAUCUCAUGGGUUAACAAACCCAUUCCAGCCAGCUAUUAUUCCUAAGACCAAAUCCUCUCCAGCUGCCUGAGGAAACAGAUGCACCCAUUCAUUUGAUUCAAUAAAGUUUUAUUUUCCCAAAUGUA